rnacentral:piRNA from 1 species
CUCUUUUGUGACUGGCAGAGCUA